CUAGUGCUGGGCGGUAUACCGGUUCAUACCGAAUACCGGUGUUUUUUUUUUCUAUGAUAUGAAUUUUAGAAAUACCUCCAUACCAGUGAGUGUGUUGCACAGAGCGGCAGAACACCGUGCCCGCAGGGCAUUGUUUGAGUGGGGACAGUUUAGCGGUUGCACCAAACAAGCAGCAUGAGUACAGCCUGUGUAGAGUGAACGGAUGUUUAGCGGUGAGCAUAAUGGCAAAACUUCUGAAACUGAACAACAAGAACGAGAAACUGAAACGGAAGAACUUGUACCGAAACCAGGAGCUGUGUCCGUUGUUUGGAAGUACUUUGGGUUUAAAAAGUCCGACGUCGACCAAACUACAAUACUAUGGAAAUGCUGUCGCGCUAAAGUUGUAGCAGGAGGAGGAAACACGAGCAAUUUACUCCACCACCUCAGCCGCAAACAUGUCCUGGAAUAUCAGGAAUGUAAACUACGAGCUUCAGCCUCCUCGUCUGCAGAUGCUAUUCUUCAACUACACAACUGAGGUUUACCUGCCCGAUUCAGCAGCCAGCUGGUCUUUUACAGCAAAUUCUCAUUAUUACCUGAGAAACACGCCUCCAGUGUUCCGCCUCAGCCUCCAGACGCAUGAAUUCUGUUGACAGCCGGUUGACCUCAUGUUGCAACCAGAUGGCUUCGCUGAGAUCAACUUCGUCUCCAUGGAGAACCUGGUGGACAUGUGCAC